ACAAAACGAUAGGGUAGUGUUUUCGCUAUUUUUACGCUCAAAUAUUAUUACAGAGCCGAGUGAUUUCUACUUUCGAUUCAGAACGAGGCUUUUUCAUGUUACUUCCGCAUUCUUAAAUAAUUUUUCACGUAAAAUUGAAUUAAUUACAGUCUUCUAAAGUGAAUUAAAAUCGCAGAGCGAUCUGGACAAUUCAAGAUGUCUUCCAGGAAAAGGAAGCGGGCUUAUACUUGCAAGGAAGUGCUAAAUACGAUCUGUUAUGACAGUAAUAGUAAUAUUCCGGACAUCGAAAUUGGAUUCGGAUAUGUCAAAUGAAAGUUCGGAUGACGAUAUUAGUGAGAAAACUGUUUCAAAUCCGUCAUCCAGACCACAAACACCUUCAGACCACGGACAAGAGGUUGAGGGGACAAGGUAGAGCGAUCGGGAGAGGGGAAUAUUCGAAAAGAAGAAGCAUCGACCAGAUUGUGCAGUGCGAAGUGACAGACAGACUCCUGGAUGGAGUAUAAAACAAACAUAUUUUAAAUGCAAUGAGUGCAACAUUCCUAUGUGGGCAGCCCGUGUCAUUCACACAAACAAGAACUUUCAGGAAGCUGGACGCGUGGUCCAUAAUGUUGAUGCAUAUGUACACAUGUAGAUUUGUUUAUAAGCAAAAAUGUUUUCAUUUUAACAUAGUCAUUUUUUCUAUUGUAUAAGAAGUAAAGAAAGGAUAUGUACACAAAUGUAAUCACUAAAUAUUUAUGAACUUAAUGACAUUUUUUCAUUUUUUUAAAUUUAUUAUAUAAUUUAUUAAAUAUUUUGUAUAAUAAAAUUUCAAAAAAUCA